rnacentral:rRNA from 1 species
UACGUAGGGGGCAAGCGUUAUCCGGAUUUACUGGGUGUAAAGGGAGCGCAGACGGAACUGCAAGUCUGAUGUGAAAGCCCGGGGCUCAACCGCGGGACUGCAUUGGAAACUGUAGAUCUGGAGUGCCGGAGGGGCAAGCGGAAUUCCUGGUGUAGCGGUGAAAUGCGUAGAUAUCAGGAGGAACACCGGCGGCGAAGGCGGCUUGCUGGUCUGUAACUGACACUGAGGCGCGAAAGCGUGGGGAGCGAACAGGAUUAGAUACCCU